AGCCAUGCAAGUCCAAGUACACGUCCUUGAACGACGGAAACUGCGAACGGCUCAUUAAAUCAGUUGCGAUCUACUCGGCGUUCCGCGCCGCCGGAUAACCGUAGUAAUUCUAGGGCUAAUACGUGCGAAGCGCCCGAAGCCGCGAGGCGACGGGCGUUCUCGCCGGAUGUAGGAACCGACCCGGGGACCGCCGGGGCAACCCGGCGCCCCGAGACGGGGCGAACCACGGUGAAAUGACGGAUCGUCGGCCCCGCGCCGGCGACUCGCCGAAUGAGUUUCUGACCUAUCAACUCGAGACGGCGGGGUAGAGGCCCGCCGCGGUACGACGGGUAACGGGGAAUCAGGGUUCGAUUCCGGAGAGGGAGGCCCCGAGAAACGGCUACCACUUCCAAGGAAGGCAGCAGGCGCGC
rnacentral:rRNA from 1 species